rnacentral:lncRNA from 1 species
GGAGGGCACUGGUGCGUGGGUAGAGUCGCUUUGCCGCGUGCCUUAUUUAUUUCUCUCUCUAUCCACGUAUUUAUUUAUUUGUUUCUUUCUUUAUUUAUUUGUUUGUUGACCAUGAAAUUUACAUCUUCCACGAUCUUCCAGAUCCGAUACUUGAUAGACGCAGCCUUAAGGAUCUAGAAAUGAAAUCCAAGAAGUACAGCCCGCUAGAGGACAUAUAUUGAAGUUAAGAGAUUAAAACGGUCCCGACCAUCGCAAACAGAACGGAACAUCUCGCAUUUCUCAUCCCUUAUAAGCAUGACUAUUUUGCAGAUGUUAAAUGCGGGCUGCUCUAAUUACGGACGAGGGUGGGAGGGGGGGCCCGCCGAGCGCCGGGCUCUCCAACUUCACGGCCAUGGAGUGGGGUUGGGAAGGCAGCGAGAGCUCCGGCGUCGGCUCAGGAAUUUGUACAAGGGGGAUUUUCCCUAUCAAUAAUUUAAUAAGGAGGCAGCAGCCUCUCCUGCGUGCUUUAAUGACUCGAG